CAGCCGCCGCGGUAAUACAGAGGGUGCAAGCGUUAAUCGGAAUUACUGGGCGUAAAGCGCGCGUAGGUUGUUUGUUAAGUUGGAUGUGAAAGCCCCGGGCUCAACCUGGGAACUGCAUCCAAAACUGGCAAGCUAGAGUACGGUAGAGGGUGGUGGAAUUUCCUGUGUAGCGGUGAAAUGCGUAGAUAUAGGAAGGAACACCAGUGGCGAAGGCGACCACCUGGACUGAUACUGACACUGAGGUGCGAAAGCGUGGGGAGCAAACAGGAUUAGAUACCCCCGUAGUCCCUGUCUCUUAUAC
rnacentral:rRNA from 1 species